AAAUGUUUUUAUUAGCUGAUGAACAAAAGGGACUAAAUUUGCGAAGUAGUCUGACAAUCAUACAUACAGUGAUCUCCUCUUAUGGCCGUACUGAAGGCUGAAUCUAAAAUUAAACUCCGAUAUAACAGAUAUUAAUGAUCUUGAGCUAAACGGACAAAAGGAAGUCAUAUUUUAAUGACUUUAUUUGUGAAGAAAAGUCUAAAAAUGAAGUAAUGAAAUACUUUAUUCAAUGGCGUCAUCAAGAAGUUGAUUAAUCUAUUAAGGUCAUUUCUAUAAUACUGUCAGAUUUGGCCAAUUUUAAAACUAACAGAUCGUGUUAAAUUGAUAGAUGCUUUACACUCGGAUUAUUUGAAAAAUACGAAAAGAUAUUUAGUUGCAAGAAAAUCAUUUAAAAGCUGUUACACGAUCGAAAAUAAGCCGCAAUUUACGGUCCUGUUUCCGAGUUCUUAUGAUACAAAUUUAUAUCCUCUGUAUAACACGAUUUUGUUAUUUAAAUUCACCACACUUAAUCAGACAUCUCUAAAUACAAAACAGUGCAAAUCCAAAAUAAUUUAGUAGGACGUUGUACUGUAGUUAAAAGUAUUUGAAAAAGCAAUAAAAUUAGCUGAGAUCAACAUCCCGGUGGCAGUUAUGACCUCAACCCUGACGCGAGGAACAACGCAACCAUGGCUACAAUAUGAGGUCCCAACAAAGUACAAAGACUUGCCUAUGAAAUAAUUUUGCAAUACAGAAGAUAUAUAUAGAGAUUAGUAUUGCUGUUAGGUGUAUAAAAACGCAGUUUAAGUUUGAAAAAUUCACUUAUUAUUGAAUACUAGUAUAUCUUCAAUGAUGUGUUACCUUGUAAGUUGUAAUAGAAACAGAAAUAAUAAUAAGAAAUAUAACAUAAAAAAUGACAGGGUACUUUUGAAAUGUUGAAAUGAAAUAUCUUCAAUUUUGUAUAUACAAAGAUAAAUUAUAAUAAGACUUGGUUCAAUAAAAAAAUUAGCCCAUUGAUUUUCAUUGAGUGAUUCAUUGAACAAAUUUUAGUUGACUUUAAAGUGAUAAUUCAUGAUAUUGAUUGAAUUUCAAACAACAGACUAAAUUCAACUGUUAUAACCAUUUUGAAAAACGGAAUUUCUACGUUUUAUGCUUUAACAGUGAAAAUCACGAGCCUUAGAAGGACAUGUACACAUACAUGUACAUUACUUACAAUUUAAAUGUACAGUACUGUGCUAUAGGUACUAAGACUAUAAACAACAGCAACAACAAAUCAUUUUCUUUCAGCAUGUAGUAAACGAUUCUUCUCGCAUCAAAUACCAAUCAAUAAUCACCCAAACUUUAAUAAACAGUUUAACACAUGACUGCAUUAAAAUAAGUGAAUGCGGAAGAAAUCCACGCGCUUGAAUUUAUCUCAAGCAAUCGUAUAAUAAUAAAAUGUAAAUAACAAAUUUUACACGCAUCAUAGCUAAGUGUUUAUCUGAACUGACACGAGACGGUCGUGUAUUUUCUGCAACAGGUUAUUCCGGGUAAAUAGUGUCGCCAAUAUAAAAAAAACACAAAAAACAUGGUGGACAGCAUUUUAUUUACGUUUAUUCUAUUUGCUGGAUUUACAAGUACAUUUGCGCUAAAGAGUUUCAGGUUUUUUUCGUUUUGGUUUUUUUUUUUCGGCGGGCUAGUAUUUAUUGUCAUCACUGUUGUAGUAUCUUUCACGGUAUGCUGCUUGUAUCGUCGAAGGAGAAGAGGACAUAUCGGACACGUGUGUCGACAGACUCCACCUCAAAGAACUACAAUUGAUAUCCGCAGUCCGCCGCCAUACGAACAGGUUGGCUAUAAUGGUACCAUCAACAGGCCGGUUACAAUAAUGACGUCAAACGUGAUACCAGGAACAACGCAACAAUGGCAGAAGCCGGUAGCCCCAUUGCCUCCAAACUUCAAAACAACGAGAAGAGAGAGACUUGUAAUAAAAUAAUCAUAUAAUGUGUCUGCCGUUUAUUAAAUAUUUGAUACUAAUGUUGUAUUAAAGUGACAUUAUGCUCAUUUUUCCGGGAAGUUGAGACGAAUUAGCAGUUUUUUUUCCUCUUAAGAUUGGCUAUUGUAAUUGAUCAAUAAUUAAUGAUGAAAUAUAUAAAUGGUGAUAUAAAACAGCUACCUUAAUUUUGAACUGUCCAACACUUUCAACGUUACAGAUACAGAUAUUUAUAGUAAACGUGCCGUUGCGCACAUUUAUUACUAUUUAUUUAUCCAUAGUAUUUAUAAAAUUGAAAACAAUUUUUUUAAUUUUAUCUGUUCAGUGAUACUUGGAUGGGCAUACAGAUACUUUAAAUGCGUUUUACUAUUAAGACAGUACGUCUGGCAUGCAUGAAACAAAACAAUUUUUAUUGAAAUAUCAGAAUAAUUUUGGAACUAUUUAAAGGCCAAAAUGUGUCUUGAUUCUGUUGCGAAUUGGCCCAAAUCUAUAACAAAAAAUCAGUCGUCGCAAAUGUUUCUCGUGAUAUGCUUUUGAACAGGCAAUUUAGUCUUUCCUUUAUUGACUAAAUAGAAACAUCUACAGAUUUUCAUAGUGUGGUUAUCAAAAAGCCUUUAAUGUGCCACAAUAGUGCCAUGUCAUUGAACGAAGCGUAUUGUCCUCAAAUGCUUGUGUCAUAAACGAAAACAUAAUAAUAAAUAAUAUUAACAAAAUGGGGGAACUAAAUUUGAAAAGGGGAUCAACAGUUAUUAUGCGAGAGAAAUAAAAACUCCCUAAAGAACGGUUAAGACGGAAACAUUAAAAUGUUAGAGUUUCGGUUUGAUUGAGCCUGUUCUUGGACGGAACUGGAAAGUGGUACCUAUCGUCCACGCCCAUGCAACAUUUUAACACAUGAAAUGGUAAAAUUGUGAAUUAAGAAUAAUUCGCAGAUGUGGCUGCAACUCUAGAAUGAGCAGGUUCAUCUGCAUUGUAAUAGUCACAAGACAACUUCCUAGCUUUGCUGCCUGCUGGAGGAAGAUAUAAGGUGCCCCUCAUAGCUUUUUUCACGUAUGAGCGAUACGUCUCCGCGCGGUAUAAAACUAUACAACAAAACACUAAAUGUUGUAUUGCGUGCGGCGGCAAAUCUGUCAGAAAAAAACAAACUUUUUACUUGACGUCGGCGAGCUAAUGAUGCUGUUAUACAAGUAGACUUUGUCUGUAUGCUGGUAUCAUUAUGUUGGUCAUCCGAGUAAAGUUCACAGAACCUGUUGUAUUUUUGUUCGCUUUUCCUAAGAUACUUCUUUGGACAGUCCAGGACAUGUGGCAAAAUUUCCUUUUGCAAGUAUUUUAUCCUCAAAAACAUACUUCACUCGUGUGCCUUCAUUACAUCUGACGGACCAAGUGGGAGACUCUAUGAUGGAUAGUUCGUAAAGCCCUUUGGUACUGAAUUGUCUUAAUGUUCGUCUUCUGCCUUGCUUCGUCGGGCCCUUGUAGGUGAUUUUCUUGUUGCUCUGUCUUCCUUUAGGACAUUGAGUACUUUUGUUAUGGUCAUUGGGUUUACUUUUAUAUGUUUCUACAUGAUCAUUUUAGUGUUUACUUAUUUAACCUUUUGUAACCAUGACAACUGUUAGAAUUUCACUUGGCGGGGAUUCAUUUAAUUUACACUGUCUCGUUUAUAAGAACAUGGUGGGGCUAAGAGCGAGGUUUGGUGCACCAUUAACCGGUUUAAACUCCCCAGCAGUCAUUAUUAUGCUGCUGACCGUUCCAAGGCGGCGCCCCUCUGUGUUCCUCAGAUGUAUGUCUAUGUUGUUUCAAACUGUUUGGGUGACACUUUCGCUUGUGUCCCUUGUUGUUUUCUCCUCUACGGUAAGUAUCUUCCCCAUUACCUCUAGUUUUUAUAUCUUUGAUUAACCCGCCCCCCUUCCCCGUGUCCCCUUCCCGUUUGUGGGCUAUUAUUUAAUCAUUUAUUUGUUUUCUUUGAAUUCAUAAUCAGUUACAAAUUAUUUAUUAUUUAGUGAUUAACCUGUCCGUGCUCUAUCUUUGCCCUGUUUUUGUUUGGGGUCCGCCUGGGCUCCUUGCCACUGGUUCUUGUUGCUGGGUCAUAUGGGGGUUGCGUUCAUUGAACGCCGCCUUUCCUUGUUAAUCUUGUUUAUCAUAUUUUUCAACAACAGCUUGAAUUCAAUUGAAUAUAUUUCAAAACGAAGAUGGUGGUGUAAUGUCAUUUGAUUUCCUUCCAAGAAGAAAAAUUAUUGUAUUAACUUCAGAAUAUAAGCAACAACUAGAAUAAAGGUCUGUAUCCCUUCAUUUAUAAGCGAGUCUUACUAAAAAGUCCAUUUCAAAGCAAUAUACACAUUUUAUUUGUUUUUUGUUCAAAAGACUGUUCCCAUAACUCUAAAGAAUUACAAACUUAGCUAUGUGUAAAUGUUAAAAAUACACAAAAUACUUGAGAGUGAUCUUGGUUUUCCUGUAACCCGAUCAAACAUUUUUUAUGAAAUACGAAAAGAUGUCCAAAAUUACCUGUUAGUACCCUGAGUGGAUGGACAGUAAGAAGUGUCUCAUUUGCGUUAUGUAUAUAUAUCAACUAAGUUUAUAAGCAAAAUUUAGUAAUCAGUCCGUUUUAGAUUUCUGUCAUUAUUUAGCUUGCAUAUCACUGGCGCCGGUAAUAUAUCGUUUGAUAUCAAACAAAUAUGCACCACUUUUGACAAAGCAAACUUAGACAAAAAUGACAGUUGCGAUACAAUUAUACUAUAUUUAUUGCCGCAACACAAAUUUUCGACCUUAUAUAAUAUGAAUGUUUACAGCCCUUUUGGCUAUUAUGUUUUACUGGUCCAUAUUUGGCAUUAUAUAUGCACGUAAUAAUAUAUUUUAGGCUGACGUUUACAAAAAAGGCCUUUAUGAAUUGAAUAAUUUAAAAGUGUUGAUUGAAUGUAUACGUACAUUCUCGUGUUAUUUUUUUCUCAAAAGUUCACAGACAAACUAGAUAAAUGAUUUUUAUUAACCGGAUUCAAGGAAUUAAAAAUUUUACCCAAUUGCAAAUUCUGCCAAAGUAAAGUACACUACUGUUCUACCCGCAACCCGCUGUUCUACUCGUAACUGGUUAACGGUUGUGUUUUACGGGUAAAUAAUCAGCAUGAUCGAUAUGCUAUGAAUAGAUAGCGUAAUGUUACAUUGUGAAACAUACACACAUAGAUGAGAAGUUUUUUGUCACAUUUUUGUUGUUAGUGGGAUUUACAAGUAUAUUCGGGUCAUACUGUCGCCACUAUGAUUCCCAGAUGGAUGAAGAUUCAAUUUGGUGUGAUACAGGCUGUUGUGGAAGCUAUGGAUCCGAGUUCUGUUGUGACUUUGACAACAUCACGAAAGUCUUUUUUUGUCGUUUUUGUUGUUCUACAAACACACUAUUUCGGAAAUGUUUUAAUUAUGUCAGCGAUGAAAUAUCUUCAAAUCCGGAUCUGGUUGACUUUCGAAAGAAAUUUUAAAAUUGGAAUUUCUUUUGUCAUUGUGCGACAUAAUUAUAUAAUUAUCAUAUAUUUCUGCACGUUUGUAACGCCGCAUUUUAUUGGAUUAUCGUGGCUUGGUUAUAUUUCCAAACAGCCGUUUAUAUGUAACCUGUCAAAAAUCUUUACUAAUAAUAAUAUACGAAAACAAUAAAGGGAGACAUACGAAACAGUUUUCCGUAUCAAUUUUGCAAUGAUAUAUCUUUUAUAUAUCUUUGUAUUAUAACUCUUUUGACGUUUCUAUUUUAGGAAUGGGGCUAUUGCUGCCAUUGUAAUAAGCUUGAUUGUCUUCGCCUAUAGUGGUGGCCAUGUGCUGAUGUUGUCAGAAAACAAGAGGACGGAUGGGACGUGUGUGUCAACCGGCUACUGCUCAAACAACUACAAUUAAAAUGCACAGUCUGCUGACAUGCGGCCAGAUUGGCCAUAACGGUACCGACAACAUUCCCGUUACAAUAUAAUGACGUCGAAUGUGACUCCAGGAACAACGCAACAAUGGCAACAACUUGUUCUUCCGCCAUAGUACGAAGACUUGGCUCAAAAACAAUAAGAAAGGAUAAUGUGUUAUUAAUGUAAAUAUAUGUAUCUAACAGUAUUGAUAAAAUGAGUUUAAUUCGGUAUCGGAAUGUGUCUUUGGGAUUUUGUUUUAACUGUUUAUUUUUACAGAACUUAAUGCGGGCUUACUAUAAAGUAAAUACGUCUAGAAAAACCGCAUAUAAGAAUAUGAAACAAAAGAAAAACUUAAAAAAUGUAAUAAAAAGAAAAGUAAAAAGACCCAAGUGAACAACAACAACAAAAGCAUUCGUUGAUCAAAACAGAAGAAAUAAAUAUUUUGCUUCGUUUUCAAAUGGAAAGUAUAUUUACAAAAUUGAUGUAAUACACUAUAUUUUUGCAACAAUCAAACCAACGAAAGAUCGCAGUUUUAUUCUUGCUUCUGUCUCUUCUUACAAUAUUAUGAUAUACUUUGCGUUGUUUAACUGAUUCGUUUGUAUUGACUACAAAUGCUGAAUUAACUUUUUAAAUCAGAAAAUUGUUGAACCACUGUCUGAGUACGUUGACACCACGAAAGCCGACUUUUAGAAAACAAAAGAAAUAGAUGUAGUUUGCAGAAUGUAUGAUGCCAGAAGUAUGCCCUUUUAACUUUUAUUUGUUAAGUCAUUGCAAUGUAUAACACAACUUAACAGUUUUAAAUGAUUUAAAGGUGACCUGGUGAUUUUUUUCAAAGAAAGUGACAUUUUACUAUAUAAUAAACGAAAAUGUCCGUUUUCUUCUGGCACCUUUUGAAAAUGACGCGAAACAUUAUUGUAUUUUUCGUUAAAACUAUCUUUGGCAAAAGUAAGUUUUUUAAUCAAAAAAACAUUAUAACUGAUAUUAAUAAAAGUAAAUAACCGUAUAGAUAUAAAACAUGCAGAUUAUGACAUGUCUAGAAAUAGAUAAGCAUAAUUCAAACUUGAAGUGAAAAGCAAACAAACAGAAAAAACGUGGUGGACAAGAUUUUAUUUUCGUUUUUAUUGUUUUCUGGUUUUUCAGGAGGAGGUUAAUAAAAACUUUAUAAUCGAUUAAAAAAUAUUUAAAUUAUCUGUAAAGGUUUCGUGACACUAACACACGAAACACAUAUUUUGUUAGUAAUUCUGUCUUCAUUUUACUGAUAUUUAAAUGUUAACAUUAAUUAUGAUUAAAUGAUAUUAUAAAUUUAA